rnacentral:rRNA from 1 species
UGGCCAGACUCCUACGGGAGGCAGCAGUGAGGAAUAUUGGUCAAUGGGCGAGAGCCUGAACCAGCCAAGUCGCGUGAGGGAGUACUGCCCUAUGGGUUGUAAACCUCUUUUGUCGGGGAGCAAAAGCCGGACGUGUCCGGCUGUGAGAGUACCCGAAGAAAAAGCAUCGGCUAACUCCGUGCCAGCAGCCGCGGUAAUACGGAGGAUGCGAGCGUUAUCCGGAUUUAUUGGGUUUAAAGGGUGCGCAGGCGGAUUUUUAAGUCAGCGGUCAAAUCGUGGGGCUCAACCCCAUCCAGCCGUUGAAACUGGCGUUCUUGAGUGGGCGAGAAGUAUGCGGAAUGCGUGGUGUAGCGGUGAAAUGCAUAGAUAUCACGCAGAACUCCGAUUGCGAAGGCAGCAUACCGGCGCCCAACUGACGCUGAAGCACGAAAGUGCGGGGAUCGAACAGGAUUAGAUACCCGAGUA